rnacentral:rRNA from 1 species
GGCGAGCGGGGGGCCGGCAGCGUGGGGAAGACGGGGGGGUGAAAGGUGGUGAGGAAUGACUGGGAGUAAGGCGGGGGCAGGCUGCUGCGAAAGUAGCGGGUGAAGGCCCGGGGCUCAACAGGGGAGGGGCACGUGAAACCGGGGGGCUGGAAGGCCGGAGAGGGGAGCGGAAUUUUCGGGGGAGGGGUGAAAUUCGUAGAUAUCGAGAGGAAAACCGGUGGCGAAGGCGGCAACCUGGACGGUUAUUGACGCUGAGACGGAAAAGCGUGGGGACCAAACAGGAUUAGAUACCCAGUAGUC